AACAAGUUUAUUCUACAAACCAGGAUCCACAUUCAGUUUUAUUUGAACAAAAUGUUCUAUCAGCCUGAAAACUGCUGGGAAGGUCUCUAAGGCCAUCUGGCUCUGAGCCUGCGAUUCCAAGGCUUGUUAGCGGAUUUGUUUGUCUGGCUGUUGGUGUCUCUUCUUCCUGGCUUUGCCGCUCAGCCCUGGGCUUUCCAGAGCUUUCUAGGGGUCUCCUAAGAGGGCAAGCGGGUGGUACUUUCUGUAUUUCAAUAUUGUGUUAGAAUCUGGGACAUCCGAUUGCUGAAAUCAGAUGUUAGAUGGCACAGGUGGGGGUUUCCGGGACCCACACACCCUUGCCAAGUGCCUGCUGGAGGGAGCCGGUGUGUCCAGGACGCCCUUGCAGAGUGCCUGCUGGAGGGAGCCGGUGUGUCCAGGACGCCCUUGCCGAGUGCCUGCUGGAGGGAGCCGGUGUGUCCAGGAUGCCCUUGCAGAGUGCCUGCUGGAGGGAGCCGGUGGGUUCAGGACGCCCUUUGCCCUUGCCGAGUGCCUGCUGGAGGGAGCCGGGGAUGGACUCUUGCUUCUUUUCCCAACUCUACCAAGAGGGACCAUCCCAGGACGUCCUUCCCCAAGCACCCGGCCCUACGGCUGCCCGAGGUCUCCAUCACCGUCAGUGCCGCCAGUCUGCUGUGCAACCAGCUCUUGGUUUCGAGAGCCUGAAGGACUGCAGCUCAUGUCUCAUCUAAAGGAGCUGAAAUACUGCAGCUUUUUCUUUUGGUUGUGUGCAGUGAGAAUCUGGGAGCUGAACCUGUUAUCUGCGUGGUCUUCAGAUAUCAGGCAAACUCGGAAAAUGCCAACCCCAUAAAUGCUGGUGGGUGACAAAGUGUCUCAGGUGUGAUGCAUUAAAAAUCUCAGGACUUUUGCUCAUUGGAUUUGAAAGGUCAGCCUUCACAGGAAAAUGAUGAAGUCCCAAAAGACCAGAAAUAUAUUUCAGAAGACGCCAGUUACUGCUUUAAAAUGUCAAACCAACAUUUCAGAAAUAACUUUUGAUGGCGGCAGGAAUGAUUAUUUCCUGCCAAGAAGGUGAACGCUGGAGACCGUUGUGGUGAACGACGGCAUCUUUUCUUCCAUUAAGCUGACAACUUGGCUUCUGUCUUGUGAGGCCCUCAUCCUACCUGGUGGCAGAGGAUGUCUGAUGCCCUCAGUCACUGCAAUUACACUUCCCAGCCUGGCGGUCAGUCUCCUGGGGUCUGUGUGUUAACAACCAUCCACUGGGCAAUCCCAGUUUUCCUUAUACAGGCUUCCUUUAAAAAGCCUCUGGAUUUUCAGAAGAGAAGUUGCUUUCCUCCUUGAUUUAGAC
rnacentral:lncRNA from 1 species